UACGGGGGGAGCAAACGUUGUUCGGAAUCACUGGGCGUAAAGGGCGUGUAGGCGGCUGAAUGAGUGGGAUGUUAAAUCCCCCGGCUCAACCGGGGAACUGCAUCUCAUACUGUUCAGCUUGGGUACAGCAGAGGAGACUGGAAUUCCCGGUGUAGCGGUGAAAUGCGUAGAGAUCGGGAAGAACAUCAGUGGCGAAGGCGGUCUGCUGGGCCGUUGCUGACGCUGAGGCGCGACAGCGUGGGGAGCAAACAGG
rnacentral:rRNA from 1 species